rnacentral:rRNA from 1 species
CCUACGGGUGGCAGCAGUAGGGAAUUUUGCGCAAUGGGCGAAAGCCUGACGCAGCAACGCCGCGUGAUCGAGACGCCCUUCGGGGUGUAAAGAUCCGUUAGUGGGGACGAAACUUGGCGGUACCCACAGAGGAAGCACCGGCUAACUACGAGCCAGCAGCCGCGGUAAUACGGGGGGUGCAAGCGUUGUCCGGAAUCAUGGGGCGUAAAGAGUUCGUAGGCGGCACGUCAAGUCUGGUGUUAAAGGCAGAGGCUCAACUUCAGUACGGCACUGGAUACUGGCGAGCUAGAGUGCGGGAGAGGUAAAGGGAAGUCCUGGUGUAGCGGUGAAAUGCGUAGAUAUUAGGAGGAACAUCAGUGGCGAAAGCGCUUUACUGGGCCGUAAUUGACGCUGAGGAACGAAAGCCAGGGUAGCAAAUGGGAUUAGAUACCCGGGUAGUC